AAUAGACUCACCUUGUAUGUUAAUCAGUACACAUAUGAUACCUGUGAUCGAUACACGUUUUCUGUCAAUACAAACAUCCAGAUUUUGAUGACAACAGUUUCGUAGGCGUGACUCACCGCGAGAAAUGAGAUAAGAAGUUUCGCCCUUCUAAAUUUCGCCUAGCUUUGUAUAUCAUUAGCAACGUACAUGGAUCAGUGCACCCCUUUAUAGUUAGAUACCCAUCGAUUUUCUUACUAUUAUUUUAUUCGUGUGUUCAGAGUGUUUCCUACAGUUGUCAGGCACAUAAGUUUACGCAUGCAUCAACAUACACUGUGUCAGAUGUAUAAUUACAACCGCUAUAUAUAGAUAUCGGUAUAGAUGCCAAUUUUGAACCCAGAAGAAAUAUAAUUUUGGUUUAUCCUCGGUUUAAAGCAGAAACAAAACUUGUAUGACGGUCUUAAUUACGCUAUUGAGACCGUCAUACAAUUAAAUUCUCUGCUACGAAUUCACAGGCACUUAUCUCUGAAAAAACAUAAUUUUAAAACAGAAUAGGUUUUUUUUUUUUCAAAGAGAAGUGCCUGUGUAUGAAUUGAGUCUCCUAAUACCUGACUACGCUAGUUCGGAU
rnacentral:lncRNA from 1 species